rnacentral:tRNA from 1 species
GCGAGUAUAGUUUAAUGGCAGAAUAGCAGUUUUCCAAACUGUGGGCGGGAGUUCGAUUCUCCCUACUCGCA